AGUGAACGCUGGCGGCAUGCCUUACACAUGCAAGUCGAACGGCAGCAUGAUCUCGGCUGCUUAAUAGAUGUGGAGUGGCGAGCAGGGGAGUGGUACAUCUCCACAUGUCCUGUAUUGUGGGGGAAAUCGUCGGGAAAUUAACUAUUAUAGCAUACGACCUGAGCGGGUGAAUGCGGGGCAUCAUCGGCCCUUGCUCUAUUGGAUGAGCCGAUGUCAGAUUAGCUAGUUGGCGGGGUAAAGGCCCACCAAGGCGACGAACCGUAGCUGGUCUGAGAGGAUGAUCAGCCACACUGGAACUGAGACACGGCCCAGACUCCUACGGGAGGCAGCAGUGGGGAAUAUUGGACAAUGGGCGCAAGCCUGAUCCAGCCAUACCGCGUGGGUGAAGAAGGCCUUCGGGUUGUAAAGCCCUUUUGUACGGAAAGAAAAGCAGCAGGUUAAUACCCCGCUGUGCUGACGGUACCCAAAGAAUAAGCACCGGCUAACUUCGUG
rnacentral:rRNA from 1 species